GACGGAGGAUGCAAGCGUUAUCCGGAAUGAUUGGGCGUAAAGCGUCUGCAGGUGGCAGUUCAAGUCUGCUGUCAAAGACCGGGGCUUAACUUCGGAAAGGCAGUGGAAACUGAACAGCUAGAGUAUGGUAGGGGCAGAGGGAAUUCCUGGUGUAGCGGUGAAAUGCGUAGAGAUCAGGAAGAACAUCGGUGGCGAAGGCGCUCUGCUGGACCAUAACUGACACUCAGGUGCGAAAGCUAGGGGAGCGAACAGG
rnacentral:rRNA from 1 species